rnacentral:misc_RNA from 1 species
GCAAACUUGGUCAUUUAGAGGAAGUAAAAGUCGUAACAAGGUUUCCGUAGGUGAACCUGCGGAAGGAUCAUUGACAAAGAAGAGAGAAAGUGCAGGUGUGCGUGCUGUCGUCUGUUUGGGCGGCGCCGCGGCCGGCUUUCUUUUUCACAUUUCCAUUCUGCCCCUUGCCGGUCAGGCUUGUGGGACGAAUAAAACAUUAUUUUCAUUCGUGAUAAUAUUUUGUCUGAAACAUAACUUUAAGCAAACAAUUAAAAACUAUGAACAACGGAUCUCUAGGCUCUUGCAUCGAUGAAGAACGCAGC